rnacentral:misc_RNA from 1 species
GAUGAAGAACGUAGCGAAAUGCGAUAAGUAAUGUGAAUUGCAGAAUUCAGUGAAUCAUCGAAUCUUUGAACGCACAUUGCGCCCGCCAGUAUUCUGGCGGGCAUGCCUGUUCGAGCGUCAUUUCAACCAUCAAGCCCCCGGCUUGUGUUGGGGACCUGCGGCUGCCGCAGGCCCUGAAAACCAGUGGCGGGCUCGCUAGUCACUCCGAGCGUAGUAAUACAUCUCGCUCAGGGCGUGCUGCGGGUUCCGGCCGUUAAAAAGCCUUAUUUACCCAAGGUUGACCUCGGAUCAGGUAGGAAGACCCGCUGAUCUUAAGCAUAUCAAUAAGCGGAGGA